rnacentral:tRNA from 1 species
GCCCCAGUAGCUCAGUUGGAUAGAGCAUCGGACUUCUAAUCCGAGGGUCGCAGGUUCGAAUCCUGCCGGGUGUACCA